CUACAUGAAGCUGGAAUCGCUAGUAAUCGCAGAUCAGAAUGCUGCGGUGAAUACGUUCCCGGGUCUUGUACACACCGCCCGUCACACCAUGGGAGUCGGAAAUGCCCGAAGCCAGUGACCCAACCUUAAGGAGGGAGCUGUCGAAGGUGGAGCCGGUAACUGGGGUGAAGUCGUAACAAGGUACC
rnacentral:rRNA from 1 species